GGUUGGCAUCAUUCUGGUUGCCCAAGUCGGGAUUCACUUCAACCAUGUCGAAGGCGCGAAGGUGUCCUGUGGCUCGUGCUACCUCCACGAUGUUCAAGCCCUCUCGUAAGCUAUACCAGCGAGACUUGAAUGAGGAAAGGCAGAGAUUCAUGUUUCUUCGGGAUGAACGCUUAACAGGCAGUGGAUUCAAGCAUUUUGGUCUAGAAAACAUCCCAGAUGAAGAAGCCUCCGAAUAGGGACUUUUAUGUUGUAUAAAAUUAUAUAGUUUAGCUGUAUAUAACAAGAUCACUUCUGGUUCUUUGUAAUGCUGAUGAUUAUUAAAUUAUAGACUCUUA